UACAGAGGUCUCGAGCGUUGUUCGGAUUCAUUGGGCGUAAAGGGUGCGUAGGUGGCGCUGUAAGUCGGGUGUGAAAUCCUGAGGCUUAACCUCGGAACUGCAUUCGAUACUGCGGCGCUUGAGGACUGGAGAGGAGACUGGAAUUCAUGGUGUAGCAGUGAAAUGCGUAGAGAUCAUGAGGAAGACCAGUGGCGAAGGCGGGUCUCUGGGCAUUACCUGACGCUGAGGAGCGAAAGUGUGGGGAGCGAACAGG
rnacentral:rRNA from 1 species